GUAAAUAUAGUUUAGUAAAACUCUAGAUUGUGAUUCUAGCAACAAAGGUUAAACUCCUUUUAUUUACC
rnacentral:tRNA from 2 species